rnacentral:lncRNA from 1 species
CAGUGACAUCUUGUUGCUGCUGGAGCUUUGAAGGAGACAAAGAGGGCUUUAUUUCAGCUCCAAGCCAAAUACUUGAGAGAAAAAUAUCAUCCCCGCUGUUUUCCCGUACUGCAGGAAAAGCAGAGGCAGGGAGAACUACAGGCCACAUACUAUAUGGAAAUAAAUACUAGUUAUAUGUGGACACCUUUGCUGAAGUUGCUAAGGAGCAGAGCUAGCAAUUUCCUUCUCAAAAUCCAGAUAUAUCAAACAACAUAA